GUUCCGUAGGUGAACCAGCGGAAGGAUCAUUAUUGUAUAACCGAGGUGCGAGGGCUGUCGCUGACCCGAAAGGUCGUGCACGCCCGAGUGCCCUCACACACAUCCAUCUCACCCCUAUGUGCACCACCGCGUGGGUCCCCCUUUGGCUUGUUCGGAGGGGGGCUUACGUUUUCACACAAACUUUGUAUGCAGUGUAGAAUGUAUUUUUUGUUUUUGCGAUCACGCAAUCAACACAACUUUCAACAACGGAUCUCUUGGCUCUC
rnacentral:misc_RNA from 1 species